rnacentral:rRNA from 2 species
GCAGUCGACGAACUCUGGUAUUGAUUGGUGCUUGCAUCAUGAUUUACAUUUGAGUGAGUGGCGAACUGGUGAGUAACACGUGGGAAACCUGCCCAGAAGCGGGGGAUAACACCUGGAAACAGAUGCUAAUACCGCAUAACAACUUGGACCGCAUGGUCCGAGUUUGAAAGAUGGCUUCGGCUAUCACUUUUGGAUGGUCCCGCGGCGUAUUAGCUAGAUGGUGGGGUAACGGCUCACCAUGGCAAUGAUACGUAGCCGACCUGAGAGGGUAAUCGGCCACAUUGGGACUGAGACACGGCCCAAACUCCUACGGGAGGCAGCAGUAGGGAAUCUUCCACAAUGGACGAAAGUCUGAUGGAGCAACGCCGCGUGAGUGAAGAAGGGUUUCGGCUCGUAAAACUCUGUUGUUAAAGAAGAACAUAUCUGAGAGUAACUGUUCAGGUAUUGACGGUAUUUAACCAGAAAGCCACGGCUAACUACGUGCCAGCAGCCGCGGUAAUACGUAGGUGGCAAGCGUUGUCCGGAUUUAUUGGGCGUAAAGCGAGCGCAGGCGGUUUUUUAAGUCUGAUGUGAAAGCCUUCGGCUCAACCGAAGAAGUGCAUCGGAAACUGGGAAACUUGAGUGCAGAAGAGGACAGUGGAACUCCAUGUGUAGCGGUGAAAUGCGUAGAUAUAUGGAAGAACACCAGUGGCGAAGGCGGCUGUCUGGUCUGUAACUGACGCUGAGGCUCGAAAGUAUGGGUAGCAAACAGGAUUAGAUACCCUGGUAGUCCAUACCGUAAACGAUGAAUGCUAAGUGUUGGAGGGUUUCCGCCCUUCAGUGCUGCAGCUAACGCAUUAAGCAUUCCGCCUGGGGAGUACGGCCGCAAGGCUGAAACUCAAAGGAAUUGACGGGGGCCCGCACAAGCGGUGGAGCAUGUGGUUUAAUUCGAAGCUACGCGAAGAACCUUACCAGGUCUUGACAUACUAUGCAAAUCUAAGAGAUUAGACGUUCCCUUCGGGGACAUGGAUACAGGUGGUGCAUGGUUGUCGUCAGCUCGUGUCGUGAGAUGUUGGGUUAAGUCCCGCAACGAGCGCAACCCUUAUUAUCAGUUGCCAGCAUUAAGUUGGGCACUCUGGUGAGACUGCCGGUGACAAACCGGAGGAAGGUGGGGAUGACGUCAAAUCAUCAUGCCCCUUAUGACCUGGGCUACACACGUGCUACAAUGGAUGGUACAACGAGUUGCGAACUCGCGAGAGUAAGCUAAUCUCUUAAAGCCAUUCUCAGUUCGGAUUGUAGGCUGCAACUCGCCUACAUGAAGUCGGAAUCGCUAGUAAUCGCGGAUCAGCAUGCCGCGGUGAAUACGUUCCCGGGCCUUGUACACACCGCCCGUCACACCAUGAGAGUUUGUAACACCCAAAGUCGGUGGGGUAACC